AUGAACGCUGGCGGCGUGCCUAAUACAUGCAAGUCGAGCGAACGGACGAGAAGCUUGCUUCUCUGAUGUUAGCGGCGGACGGGUGAGUAACACGUGGAUAACCUACCUAUAAGACUGGGAUAACUUCGGGAAACCGGAGCUAAUACCGGAUAAUAUUUUGAACCGCAUGGUUCAAAAGUGAAAGACGGUCUUGCUGUCACUUAUAGAUGGAUCCGCGCUGCAUUAGCUAGUUGGUAAGGUAACGGCUUACCAAGGCAACGAUGCAUAGCCGACCUGAGAGGGUGAUCGGCCACACUGGAACUGAGACACGGUCCAGACUCCUACGGGAGGCAGCAGUAGGGAAUCUUCCGCAAUGGGCGAAAGCCUGACGGAGCAACGCCGCGUGAGUGAUGAAGGUCUUCGGAUCGUAAAACUCUGUUAUUGGGGAAGAACAUAUGUGUAAGUAACUGUGCACAUCUUGACGGUACCUAAUCAGAAAGCCACGGCUAACUAAGUG
rnacentral:rRNA from 1 species